rnacentral:rRNA from 1 species
CCCCGAAUACAUUAGCAUGGGAUAAUGGAAUAGGACCCUGUCCUCCUAUUUUCAGUUGGUUUUGGCAGCGCGAGGACUAGGGUAAUGAUUAAUAGGGAUAGUUGGGGGCAUUAAUAUUUAAUUGUCAGAGGUGAAAUUCUUGGAUUUAUGAAAGAUUAACUUCUGCGAAAGCAUCUGCCAAGGAUGUUUUCAUUAAUCAAGAACGAAAGUUAGGGGAUCGAAGACGAUCAGAUACCGUCGUAGUCUUAACCAUAAACGAUGCCGACCAGCGAUUAGGAGACGUUGAAUACAAAACACCACCAUCGGUGCGGUCGUCCUUGGCGUCGGUCUUUCGGGGCCGGCGCGGGGACGGCUUAGCCCGGUGGCACCGGUGAAUGACUCCCUA